rnacentral:rRNA from 1 species
GAUGAACGCUAGCUACAGGCUUAACACAUGCAAGUCGAGGGGUAACGAGAGGAAAGCUUGCUUUCCUUGUCGACGACCGGCGCACGGGUGAGUAACGCGUAUCCAACCUGCCCCCAACUAGGGAAUAACCUUGCGAAAGUAAGACUAAUACCCUAUAAUUUCCUCAGAUGUCAUCUGACGAGGAAUAAAGAUUUAUCGGUUGUGGAUGGGGAUGCGUCUGAUUAGCGUGUUGGCGGGGUAACGGCCCACCAAGGCAACGAUCAGUAGGGGUUCGAAGAGGAAGGUCCCCGACAUUGGAGAUGAGACACGGUCCAAACUCCUACGGGAGGCAGCAGUGAGGAAGAGUGGGCAAUGGGCGGAAGCCUGAACCAGCCAAGUAGCGUGCAGGGUGGCGGCCCUAUGGGUUGUAAACUGCUUUUAUACAGGAAUAAAGUUAGCCACGUGUGGUUAUUUGUAGGUACUGUAUGAAUAAGGACCGGCUAAUUCCGUGCCAGCCGCCGCAGUAA